GGGAGCCGAAGGGAAACCGAGUCUUAACUGGGCGUUAAGUUGCAGGGUAUAGACCCGAAACCCGGUGAUCUAGCCAUGGGCAGGUUGAAGGUUGGGUAACACUAACUGGAGGACCGAACCGACUAAUGUUGAAAAAUUAGCGGAUGACUUGUGGCUGGGGGUGAAAGGCCAAUCAAACCGGGAGAUAGCUGGUUCUCCCCGAAAGCUAUUUAGGUAGCGCCUCGUGAAUUCAUCUCCGGGGGUAGAGCACUGUUUCGGCAAGGGGGUCAUCCCGACUUACCAACCCGAUGCAAACUGCGAAUACCGGAGAAUGUUAUCACGGGAGACACACGGCGGGUGCUAACGUCCGUCGUGAAGAGGGAAACAACCCAGACCGCCAGCUAAGGUCCCAAAGUCAUGGUUAAGUGGGAAACGAUGUGGGAAGGCCCAGACAGCCAGGAUGUUGGCUUAGAAGCAGCCAUCAUUUAAAGAAAGCGUAAUAGCUCACUGGUCGAGUCGGCCUGCGCGGAAGAUGUAACGGGGCUAAACCAUGCACCGAAGCUGCGGCAGCGACACUGUGUGUUGUUGGGUAGGGGAGCGUUCUGUAAGCCUGUGAAGGUGUGCUGUGAGGCAUGCUGGAGGUAUCAGAAGUGCGAAUGCUGACAUAAGUAACGAUAAAGCGGGUGAAAAGCCCGCUCGCCGGAAGACCAAGGGUUCCUGUCCAACGUUAAUCGGGGCAGGGUGAGUCGACCCCUAAGGCGAGGCCGAAAGGCGUAGUCGAUGGGAAACAGGUUAAUAUUCCUGUACUUGGUGUUACUGCGAAGGGGGGACGGAGAAGGCUAUGUUGGCCGGGCGACGGUUGUCCCGGUUUAAGCGUGUAGGCUGGUUUUCCAGGCAAAUCCGGAAAAUCAAGGCUGAGGCGUGAUGACGAGGCACUACGGUGCUGAAGCAACAAAUGCCCUGCUUCCAGGAAAAGCCUCUAAGCAUCAGGUAACAUCAAAUCGUACCCCAAACCGACACAGGUGGUCAGGUAGAGAAUACCAAGGCGCUUGAGAGAACUCGGGUGAAGGAACUAGGCAAAAUGGUGCCGUAACUUCGGGAGAAGGCACGCUGAUAUGUAGGUGAAGUCCCUCGCGGAUGGAGCUGAAAUCAGUCGAAGAUACCAGCUGGCUGCAACUGUUUAUUAAAAACACAGCACUGUGCAAACACGAAAGUGGACGUAUACGGUGUGACGCCUGCCCGGUGCCGGAAGGUUAAUUGAUGGGGUCAGCGCAAGCGAAGCUCUUGAUCGAAGCCCCGGUAAACGGCGGCCGUAACUAUAACGGUCCUAAGGUAGCGAAAUUCCUUGUCGGGUAAGUUCCGACCUGCACGAAUGGCGUAAUGAUGGCCAGGCUGUCUCCACCCGAGACUCAGUGAAAUUGAACUCGCUGUGAAGAUGCAGUGUACCCGCGGCAAGACGGAAAGACCCCGUGAACCUUUACUAUAGCUUGACACUGAACAUUGAGCCUUGAUGUGUAGGAUAGGUGGGAGGCUUUGAAGUGUGGACGCCAGUCUGCAUGGAGCCGACCUUGAAAUACCACCCUUUAAUGUUUGAUGUUCUAACGUGGACCCGUGAUCCGGGUUGCGGACAGUGUCUGGUGGGUAGUUUGACUGGGGCGGUCUCCUCCUAAAGAGUAACGGAGGAGCACGAAGGUUGGCUAAUCCUGGUCGGACAUCAGGAGGUUAGUGCAAUGGCAUAAGCCAGCUUGACUGCGAGCGUGACGGCGCGAGCAGGUGCGAAAGCAGGUCAUAGUGAUCCGGUGGUUCUGAAUGGAAGGGCCAUCGCUCAACGGAUAAAAGGUACUCCGGGGAUAACAGGCUGAUACCGCCCAAGAGUUCAUAUCGACGGCGGUGUUUGGCACCUCGAUGUCGGCUCAUCACAUCCUGGGGCUGAAGUAGGUCCCAAGGGUAUGGCUGUUCGCCAUUUAAAGUGGUACGCGAGCUGGGUUUAGAACGUCGUGAGACAGUUCGGUCCCUAUCUGCCGUGGGCGCUGGAGAACUGAGGGGGGCUGCUCCUAGUACGAGAGGACCGGAGUGGACGCAUCACUGGUGUUCGGGUUGUCAUGCCAAUGGCACUGCCCGGUAGCUAAAUGCGGAAGAGAUAAGUGCUGAAAGCAUCUAAGCACGAAACUUGCCCCGAGAUGAGUUCUCCCUGACCCUUUAAGGGUCCUGAAGGAACGUUGAAGACGACGACGUUGAUAGGCCGGGUGUGUAAGCGCAGCGAUGCGUUGAGCUAACCGGUACUAAUGAACCGUGAGGCUUAACCUUACAACGCCGAAGGUGUUU
rnacentral:rRNA from 1 species